rnacentral:rRNA from 1 species
UGAGGAAUAUUGGUCAAUGGGCGGGAGCCUGAACCAGCCAAGCCGCGUGAGGGAGGAAGGCCCUAUGGGUCGUAAACCUCUUUUGUCAGGGAACAAAAGCGAGUAUGUAUACUAGUCUGAGUGUACCUGAAGAAAAACGCAUCGGCUAACUCCGUGCCAGCAGCCGCGGUAAUACGGAGGAUGCGAGCGUUAUCCGGAUUUAUUGGGUUUAAAGGGUGCAUAGGCGGCGGUGCAAGUCAGCGGUAAAAGGCCCGGGGCUCAACCCCGGCGAGCCGUUGAAACUGCAGUGCUAGAGAAGGCGAGAGGUACGCGGAAUGCGCAGUGUAGCGGUGAAAUGCUUAGAUAUUGCGCAGAACUCCGAUUGCGAAGGCAGCGUACUGGCGCCUGACUGACGCUGAGGCACGAAAGCGUGGGGAUCGAACAGGAUUAGAUACC